GACUCAGCCAGACCGGCCCUUCAGGGACACCCGCUGUUUGACUUGGCACAGGACGGGGCCUGGGUACAGGGCUACAGUUGUCCAUAGCCACAGGCUGCAGAGCUGAAGACAGACCCUUGACCGACAAAGCAAACAGAAGAGGAACAAGAGCACGAAACAAGAGAAAAUCAUCUGUUUCUUUGAAUGGAAAACUCCUGGAGCCCAGAUGAAGCAAGAACUUUGUGCACCCGAGGCUCGCCCGAGACACACCAGCUCCUCUCUGACUGCGCGUCCAAUCAGCGGGAG